AACGAACGCUGGCGGCAGGCCUAACACAUGCAAGUCGAACGAGAAGCUUUCCUUCGGGAAAGUGGAAAGUGGCAGACGGGUGAGUAACGCGUGGGAACGUGCCUUUCGGUCCGGAAUAACUCAGGGAAACUUGGGCUAAUACUGGAUACGCCCUUCGGGGGAAAGAUUUAUCGCCGAAAGAUCGGCCCGCGUCAGAUUAGCUUGUUGGUGGGGUAAUGGCUCACCAAGGCGACGAUCUGUAGCUGGUCUGAGAGGAUGAUCAGCCACACUGGGACUGAGACACGGCCCAGACUCCUACGGGAGGCAGCAGUGGGGAAUAUUGGACAAUGGGCGCAAGCCUGAUCCAGCCAUGCCGCGUGGGUGAAGAAGGCCCUAGGGUUGUAAACCCCUUUCAGCGGGGAAGAUAAUGACGGUACCCGCAGAAGAAGCCCCCGGCUAACUCCGUGCCAGCCGCCGCGGUAA
rnacentral:rRNA from 1 species